UAUUGCACAAUGGAGGAAACUCUGAUGCAGUGACGCCGCGUGCAGGAAGAAGGUUUUCGGAUUGUAAACUGCUUUAGAUAGGGAAGAAAAAAGACAGUACCUAUAGAAUAAGCUCCGGCUAACUACGUGCCCGCAGCCGCGGUAAUACGUCGGGAGCAAGCGUUAUCCGGAUUUAUUGGGUGUAAAGGGUGCGUAGACGGGAAUUUAAGUUAGUUGUGAAAUCCCUCGGCUUGACUGAGGAACUGCAACUAAAACUGAAUUUCUUGAGUGCGGGAGAGGAAAGUGGGAUUCCUAGUGUAGCGGUGAAAUGCGUAGAUAUUAGGAGGAACACCAGUGGCGAAGGCGACUUUCUGGACCGUAACUGACGUUGAGGCACGAAAGUGUGGGGAGCAAACAGG
rnacentral:rRNA from 1 species